rnacentral:rRNA from 1 species
GACGAACGCUGGCGGUGUGCUUAACACAUGCAAGUCGAGCGGUAAGGCCCUUUCGGGGGUACACGAGCGGCGAACGGGUGAGUAACACGUGGGUGACCUGCCCUCAGCUCUGGGAUAAGCCUGGGAAACUGGGUCUAAUACUGGAUAUGACUCCACGGUGCAUGUCGUGGGGUGGAAAGCCUUGUGCGGCUGAGGAUGGGCCCGCGGCCUAUCAGCUUGUUGGUGGGGUGANGGCCUACCAAGGCGACGACGGGUAGCCGGCCUGAGAGGGCGACCGGCCACACUGGGACUGAGACACGGCCCAGACUCCUACGGGAGGCAGCAGUGGGGAAUCUUGCGCAAUGGGCGAAAGCCUGACGCAGCGACGCCGCGUGAGGGAUGACGGCCU